rnacentral:rRNA from 1 species
CCUAAGGUAGCGAAAUUCCUUGUCGGGUAAGUUCCGACCUGCACGAAUGGCGUAACGAUUUGAGCGCUGUCUCAACGAGAGAUCCAGUGAAAUUGUGGUACCGGUCAAGACGCCGGUUAACCGUGGUAGGACGGAAAGACCCCAUGGAGCUUUACUGUAACCUGAUACUGAUGUUUGAAAUUUCAUGCACAGGAUAGGUGGGAGGCGAAGAAGAAAGAGUUUCGGCUUUUUCAGAGCCAUUGUUGGGAUACCACCCUUGGGAUUUUGAACAUCUAACUUUAGCGUCUGAAUCGACGAAGAGGACACAGUCAGGCGGGCAGUUUGACUGGGGCGGUCGCCUCCCAAAGAGUAACGGAGGCGCGCAAAGGUCAACUCAUGGCGGAUGGAAACCGCCAAGAGAGCGUAAGGGUAUAAGUUGGCUUGACUGCGAGAUGGACACAUCGAGCAGAGACGAAAGUCGGUCCUAGUGAUCCGGCGGUGCUGAAUGGAAAGGCCGUCGCUCAACGGAUAAAAGCUACCCUGGGGAUAACAGGCUGAUCUCCCCCGAGAGUUCCCAUCGACGGGGAGGUUUGGCACCUCGAUGUCGGCUCGUCGCAUCCUGGGGCUGUAGUCGGUCCCAAGGGUUGGGCUGUUCGCCCAUUAAAGCGGCACGCGAGCUGGGUUCAGAACGUCGUGAGACAGUUCGGUCCCUAUCUGUUGCGGGCGUAAGAGAUUUGAAGGGAGCUGUCCUUAGUACGAGAGGACCGGGAUGGACGUACCUCUGGUGCACCAGUUGUCCUGCCAAGGGCAUAGCUGGGUAGCUAUGUACGGACGAGAUAAACGCUGAAAGCAUCUAAGCGUGAAACUCCCCCUAAGAUGAGAUCUCUCAUUCGAAAGAAGUAAGGACCCAGAGAGACGAUCUGGUUGAUAGGCGCGAGGUGGAAGUGCAGUAAUGUAUGGAGCUGACGCGUACUAAUAGUCCGAGGGCUUGACCU